AAAGGUUUGAGUAUGAGCAUAUCCGUUAGGCCCCGAAAGAUGGUGAACUAUGCCUGAGCAGGGUGAAGCCAGGGGAAACUCUGGUGGAGGCUCGUAGCGAUACUGACGUGCAAAUCGUUCGUCAGACUUGGGUAUAGGGGCGAAAGACUAAUCGAACCAUCUAGUAGCUGGUUCCCUCCGAAGUUUCCCUCAGGAUAGCUAGAGUCUUUAUCAGUUUUGUCAGGUAAAGCGAAUGAUUAGAGGUUCCGGGGAAGUAACUUCCUCGACCUAUUCUCAAACUUUAAAUGGGCAAGAUCCAGUAGUUACUUAAUUGAACUAUUGGGGUCAAUGAGACGACUCUAAGUGGGCCAUUUUUGGUAAGCAGAACUGGCGAUGAGGGAUGAACCUAACGCUCGGUUAAGGUGCUAAACUGCUCGCUCAUCAGAUACCACAAAGGGUGUUGGUCGAUCUUAACAGCAGGACGGUGGUCAUGGAAGUCGAAAUCCGCUAAGGAGUGUGUAACAACUCACCUGCCGAAUCGACUAGCCCCGAAAAUGGAUAGCGCUGAAGCGAGUGACCGAUACCGGGCCAUUGUUGCAAGAUAAUUGGCAACAAUGAGUAGGAGGGCGUGGGGGUUG
rnacentral:ncRNA from 1 species